rnacentral:pre_miRNA from 14 species
CCUCUGGGUCCCCGGGGGCUACGCCAGAUCCCGGACGAGCCCCCAGAUGAAAGAACCCCAAAUCAGGGAGACUCUUGUUCCAGUCUUGGGAUGGUGGUGUGCCCCAGGAAACGCGAAUAGCC